rnacentral:rRNA from 1 species
CAGCACGGGGAGCAAUCCCUGGUGGCGAGUGGCGAACGGGUGAGUAAUAUAUCGGAACGUGCCUUAUAGUGGGGGAUAACGCAGCGAAAGUUGCGAUAAUACCGCAUACGCCCUGAGGGGGAAAGUGGGGGACCGAAAGGCCUCACGCUAUUAGAGCGGCCGAUAUCUGAUUAGCUAGUUGGUGAGGUAAAGGCUCACCAAGGCAACGAUCAGUAGCUGGUCUGAGAGGACGAUCAGCCACACUGGGACUGAGACACGGCCCAGACUCCUACGGGAGGCAGCAGUGGGGAAUUUUGGACAAUGGGGGCAACCCUGAUCCAGCAAUGCCGCGUGAGUGAAGAAGGCCUUCGGGUUGUAAAGCUCUUUUGUCAGGGAAGAAACAGCAGCUCUAACACAGUUGUGAAUGACGGUACCUGAAGAAUAAGCACCGGCUAACUACGUGCCAGCAGCCGCGGUAAUACGUAGGGUGCAAGCGUUAAUCGGAAUUACUGGGCGUAAAGCGUGCGCAGGCGGUUAUACAAGACAGGCGUGAAAUCCCCGGGCUUAACCUGGGAAUUGCGUCUGUGACUGUAUAGCUAGAGUGUGUC